GUGCCGCUGGCCACGACCACCUCGCCCUUGCUGCCGGUCGGGUUUGCCCCGGCGCCCUCCCCCAUGAUGAUGACUACCCCGUC
rnacentral:ribozyme from 1 species